UACAGAGGGGGCAAGCGUUGUUCGGAAUUACUGGGCGUAAAGGGCGCGUAGGCGGCCUUCUAAGUCGAACGUGAAAUCCCUGGGCUCAACCCAGGAACUGCGUCCGAUACUGGAAGGCUUGAAUCCGGGAGAGGGAUGCGGAAUUCCAGGUGUAGCGGUGAAAUGCGUAGAUAUUGGGAGGAACACCAGUGGCGAAGGCGGCUCACUGGACCGGAACUGACGCUGAGGCGCGAAAGCGUGGGGAGCAAACAGG
rnacentral:rRNA from 1 species